rnacentral:rRNA from 1 species
AGUGAACGCUGGCGGUAGGCCUAACACAUGCAAGUCGAACGGCAGCACAGUAAGAGCUUGCUCUUACGGGUGGCGAGUGGCGGACGGGUGAGGAAUACAUCGGAAUCUACUUUUUCGUGGGGGAUAACGUAGGGAAACUUACGCUAAUACCGCAUACGACCUACGGGUGAAAGCAGGGGAUCUUCGGACCUUGCGCGAUUGAAUGAGCCGAUGUCGGAUUAGCUAGUUGGCGGGGUAAAGGCCCACCAAGGCGACGAUCCGUAGCUGGUCUGAGAGGAUGAACAGCCAAAAUGGAAAUGAGACACGGUCCAGACUCCUAAGGGAGGCAGCAGUGGGGAAUAUUGGACAAUGGGCGCAAGCCUGAUCCAGCCAUACCGCGUGGGUGAAGAAGGCCUUCGGGUUGUAAAGCCCUUUUGUUGGGAAAGAAAAGCAGCAGGUUAAUACCCCGCUGUUCUGACGGUACCCAAAGAAUAAGCACCGGCUAACUUCGUG